UUAGUUUUUUUCUGAAUUUUGGGGUUAAAAAAUUAAGCAAAAAAGUCAAUCGAGUGUUUUUUUUUGUUUUUCUGGUUUUGCUUUUUUAUUUAAUUUUAGUUAAAGUAAAGCCACAAAAACAAAAAAGUUAAAAAUUCUUGACUUUUUUAGUAAUAAGCUUAAAAAAAAUUUAAUUUUUAAGCAUUACUAAAUAGAGCCUUAAUCGUGGAUUGUCUACUUUUUAGAUCAAUGCUGAAUCUAAAAUUGGAUUAAAUAAAAGGUCGGUUAUUUUAACUGAUAUGAUUUUUUUUCAAUAUCAAUCUAUUCACUCCUUUUGGACACAAUCUAUCACCGACUCUACUUUUUCAUUACUUCACCAAACAGUCAAAAGUGUGUGUGGAGGGACUAAAUUGGCUUUUACUUUAUGAGACUCGGACUCAGACUUGACAAAAGGACCAAUAAAGUUCGUGGGGCGUAAGCUACUAACCUUUAUCUGUAGCCACCAAUCUGAACCGUUUAUUUACCAAGACACGAUUGAGAAAAUUAUUUAUGCAAAUAACUAAAUUGAUCGGAGAUCUUUAAUUACAUAGUCGAAUCAUGUUAGUCUCAAAAAAAUAACCGGUAAUGAAAAUUAUACUUUCUAUCUAAAUAAUAAUGAUCCAAUCAUGGCGAUACUAAUGCUCAGCGAGUCCUACAACAUGAACGGUUCAGAUCAUUUUUAAAGUGGAUUCACAACUUGUCAACUUUACUAUAAAGCUUAAAUUCAAAACUUUAGAGAAACUUAAUUCUUGUUUGGUGUGAGAGAUUUUGUGAGAAAAUAUAAGAAAUAAAGAAAUCAGAUUCUCUUUUAUGUUUGGAUAGCAAAAUAGAUAAGAAAUAGUAAGAGAAUGAGAAACGGUGAAAGAGUCAAAUCACUUACUAAGUCUCUUUUUGUUUCUUUUUAAAAAUAGUGAGAUUUGUUGAAAAACAAAAAUGAUUUAUUGAGUAUAAUAAAUAAUGUAGAGAUUGUCCAUCAAAAUACAAAUUGAAGAAAAACAAAUCUCUUGUCCUUAUUUCUCAUGAUUUGCUUUCUUAUUUGUUCAAACACGAUGGUGAGAAAUCAAAAUCAUUUCUUUUCUUUUACGUGAGAAAGCAUUAUCAAUCCUUUUCUUUUCUCACUUAUGACUCCAAACAGAUAGUGCUAUUCCAUUAAUCUGGUUGAUUAACACGCUAUUAUCAAAUCUAAACGUGUUUAAUUCAUCACGAUUCACAAUUAACGCAAAGUUUUUGGUAGAUUACGAGGCAUUGAGGCCGAAGAAUAACAACGGACCGUAAAACAGAUAAAAGAAAAAGUGCUUAAGAAUACCUUUAUCAAAUAGUGAAUCCACAGUUAGAUCUGGCCAUGUCAGUGCUUGAAUUUCUUCUCGCUACGUCGUUAGAGGUCGCCUUCGUCCGGUGAUGAACCACUGAAAGAACCCAAAAAUCAAAUGGGUCCGGUCUACCCGACCUUAAUAAUAAUGGUUUAAAAGAACUUAAUAGUUUAACAUGGUACGAGCCUGAUUUAAAAAUAAAAAUAGAACUCCUUCAAUCCGAGCCUAAAUCGAUUAUAUGAGUAGAAUAUUAUAAAAUAUUUUUAAUUGUUAAUCAUACUGUAUAUAAAUAAUUGACAAUUAAUAAAGUUGCUUAAAGUUAAUUGUAUAUGCAAAAAUUUUGUUUUAUUAAGUAAAUAUGAGCUAGAGGAAUUUAAGCAAAUAAAAAUCUUGGCCCGAUGUGUGCCCAACCGUUCUGAGUCUUUUGACCGUUAUUAAGAAUUUUUUGAGAACUUGAUGAAACUAUUACUCCCACCCCGGUGCAGGUGGAGUGUGGGAUGGGACAUGUUUUGGGCAAGUUUUGGUCUAAUUUGCCCUCUCUUCAUCUCUCUCUUGCAUCUCUUCUCCCUCUCUUCCGCCAGUCGCCCUCUUUUUUUCAUUUUUUAUUUUUAUUUUCAUUAUUUUUUAUCAUUUUUUUAUUAUUAUUAAAUUUAUUUAUUGUCUUUAUCCAGAUUAUUUUUUUUUGGAUAAAUAUUUUAUCUCAAAAAAAUUUUAUGAUAAAACUUUAUAUUUUUUUUAUCUAAAAAGUUAUUUUUUAUGAUCCUAUUUUUUAUAUAAAAAAAUAUAAAGUGGGAGUAAAAAAUUUUAUAAAAUUUAAUCAUAAUUUAUAAUUUAUUUAAAAUUUUUUUGAUAAAAAUUUUAAAAUUUCUUUUACUCCCACCUUAUUUUUUUUAUAAAAUAAAAAAAUAUGGAUAAAAAAAUAUUUCUUUUACUCCCACCAUCAAAUUUAUUUAUCAAAAUUAAAAAAAAAUUAAAUUUGAAUUUUAAAAAAAAACAGAUUAAAAAAAUAAACAAAACUCUAAAAAAAUUUAAAAAAUUAAAAAGAAACAAAAAUAAUGAAAAAUAAAUAAAAAAAUUACAAAAUACUAGAAAAAAAGAAAUAAACUAAUGGAAAAAAAAUAAAAAAUUGAAAAGAAAAAAAAACAAGAGAGAGAGGGUUUAGGUGGAUUUGU
rnacentral:lncRNA from 1 species